AUACGGAGGGUGCAAGCGUUACUCGGAAUCACUGGGCGUAAAGCGCGCGCAGGCGGCCAUUUAAGUUGGAUGUGAAAGCCUACGGCUCAACCGUAGAACUGCAUCCAAAACUAUUUGGCUAGAGUGUGGGAGAGGAAGAUGGAAUUAGUUGUGUAGGGGUAAAAUCUGUAGAGAUAACUAGGAAUACCAAAAGCGAAGGCAAUCUUCUGGAACAUUACUGACGCUGAGGCGCGAAAGCGUGGGGAGCAAACAGGAUUAGAAACCCCGGUAGUCC
rnacentral:rRNA from 1 species